UUUGCGGUCGCUUUGGAUGCCAUUUGGCAUUUGAAGAUGUUUCAUUGUAAGUUACUCCAGAAGUUAAGUUUAUUUCUAUUAUCUACAUAAAUGAAUGGCUAGCCAUUUAUGUAGUACUAAUAUGAUAACCCUUUCACCUAUUCAUAUAAGUAUAUAUAUAGAUCUUACACCGAAGUCAACUCUUGAAUAUUUGAGACAUUCGUGUACCAUAAAAGCUGUCUAGCUUUCUUUCCGUGGUCUAAAGGAAUAAUAUGUUUUAUUUUCAAGCCUUAGAUUUUCCUUGGUGACCUUUACUUCCAUAAGAUAAGUAUUUUUAUUUUUAGUUCUUCAUACAACAGAACUGAGCAUUUUGAUUUUCAUCAAAGGAAGAAGGUUUAUUGUCUAUUAGCAACAACUUUCUCAUCUCUUUCUAACCUAUUAAAGCCAUUAUGGUUGAGCAAUCGGUUCCGUGUUAGGUAUUUUAGUUGAUGCUGUCCAUGGAGUUUUAUUAAUAUAUUUACUUUCGAUAUCAAUUUCUUUAUCUAAAUGUUCACGUUUCACACUACAUUUGUUGACUAAUUUUAUACUUUUUUUAGCAGAAUUUUUUUCGUAUUAUGCACCAUUAAGCCAUGAUAGCUUAAGGAAGUGAGAUUGGACCUGAAAUGAACGACACGUAAGCUAUAUCAAACUACGGUGAUGGUAUAACCAUUGUUAAAAAGGCUACAAUGCAUUAGCAGAGGUUUCAAUCUUGGAAGAUAGAAACCUUGGAAGAUGCACUACCGCUUUUUUAAUAAUCGUUAUAUGCUAUCAAAAACAAAACUCUAGAGUCAGUGCUCUUUUUUCUAAUCUCUUCAUCUUCUUAUCCGGUAUGCUUUUCUUUCAAUUUUUUGCUCACUGAUUUAUUGAAUGGCUAUUUAGUGUUUGCUUUCUUGAAAACUAUAUUGCAGAAUAACUUAGAGGUAUUACUUUCAUAGAGGUAUUUGCAUAUCCUCUGACGACUAAAUUUCUGUGAAAUUUUUGGAUAGAGACAAUGGCAUACAUCCUAAUACCAUAUGUUUUGAAAUAUAACUUUGUCACCACGUAGGUGAGUUUCAUCUAAAAUAUUUUAUUUUAAUGAUUUCUCGAAAAUAUAACUACCUUAUGCUAAAGUUUAUCAGACGCACAUUUAGAAUCAAUUACAAUCCCAUUGAACCUUAGAUAGCAAAGGCAGGACCUGAGGUCCCCAAAUUUGACUGAAACGUAAAAGAUUUCAUGCUUGGUUGGUGUCAGGUAAAUGAUAAAUUAUUUCAUAUAAGCGCACUUUAUUGAACUCUUUUAAAAUACAAACACUUGGGAGUUCGGAGUAUAGAAUCUACAUACAAGGCUGUUCGAGAAGAUCUGACCCCUUAUUAUACGUUUCACAAAUGGUAUGAACUUUAAUUUACUUCAUUAUUUUUAGUUUUACCAUGAUUUCAUUUCAUUGACUUUGUUAUAGAUAUAGUACUUUUAUUUUGUGGAUAUCUAUUAUGCUGGAGUAGUAUCUUCAAUUCUUGGUAGGACAUAUUUUUAGUUGACAGUGGUAAUCGUUGGCUAAUACAUGAACCAAUCAGAUGGGUUGAUUUAGAGAAGAGAGGCUAGGAACCUUUGUUUUAGGGGUGAGUGAAGUAUAAAAUGAUUGAAAAUGUUACUACUGUAUUGUUAAUAGUUUCCAGGAUUAGCUGUUUAAAAGAGAAUUUAUUUAGCUUAACAGUUUCAGAUAUCUACUAACCUUCCAUCGUGAAGUCAUCUUCUGAAUAAACAUGUGAGAGCGAGGCCAUUUUGUGAAUUACUACUGAAAAUAGUUGCUGGUAGACUAUUAAUAUUGGACAACUUUCUCCACCAAAUAUCAGACCAGAACUUAAUUCUGUUGGUACCAUUGUAUAUACAAUAUGUUGCGUAAGUACCUCCCCACUUAUUAACGAUCCAUUACAAAUCAUGUACUAUAAGUCUAUAAUAGAGUCUAACUUAUUUAAGUUUUCCGGUUUACUUCCUCAUGUUUGUAUUUACACCUAGCUUAUUUAAGUUUGCCUGUUUCCUUCCUCAUUUUGUAUUUAUCGCGCAUGACCUUCCCACAAAUAGGAUACUUAAUUUUUCUCUGUUUCUUUGAAUUAAUUGCUUUUAACUAAUUGCUUUUGCUCUUCCAUUCCGGUUGAUCAUUAAAUUUGUAUUGUUAAUCCCCACAAAUUGCCUUCCUUCGCUUUGACCAUACUCUUCACUAAAACUUUUAGACUGUAAUUCUAUACUGACUUAGGAUAUGAUAGUCACAGCAUUGUAAUGCUUACUACUGUUUUAGGCCUUAAAGGUAACUGCUUAUUUCUUCAUGUAAGCGCUUGGGCCUAGAAAUGAUAUCUUUUUCUUCAAUUUUGUCACAGAUUUGAGCCAAUGGACCUAGAAAUGAGGUUUCAAUUCAUAUUUAUAGUUCUUUCAUUGUAUGAUAAUCUUCAAUUUGCCUCAAAGUACACAACUCUUUCCUAAUACGAAAUUGUAGUCAGCCUUACUAGGAGUUUAGAGGUAAUCAAUGAAAGUUUGACAACACUCAAUUUAGGAUUUAAUGAAAUUAGAGUAUGUAAUUCCUUCACAGUACAACCUUGUACUUCUCUCUCGAAAACCCAGCUUCAUGCACCAACUUAGUUUAACUUGUGCACAAGAUGAAGAAGCUUGCAGAUAAUGAAAUAAAAACUCUAGUUGCACUAUAUUUGGACAUAAGGUGCUACUAAAUUCUGUUACUACAUCACUGAUCCUAGCCAUUCAACAUGAAGAAUAUAUGUCAAAGCAUUAUCGUGCCUCAAAUAUUUAUCUUUCUUCUAUAAGCUUAAUUUGUUGCACUAAGUGCAGACAUUGAGAACCUUUUUAUGCCGGUACAGAUUCUGGUGGAGAAUCAUGUGGAGUGCUUGCUCAAACCAUAUUUUACGCUCCCACAGAUAAUAAAGCUAAGUUUUGGUAAUUAACUAUUCUCUGUCAUUCAUUACAGAUUACGUCAUGUUUCACUUUUGCAUACCAGACAACGAGCAUGACUACAGAGAGGGAUCUGAGCAAUAUAGAUUAUUGAACAUUGUCUUGCAUCAGUAGACAGAUUAAAGCAACCUUGGCUGAUUUUUCCUUCUCAUUCUGUGCAAGCCUUUGUAUCGCAUAGUUAAUUCAACUUCUCAGCUAUCCUACUUUGCAGUUAAAUAAGAUGCAGGACUUGAGCGGUGUCACAUGGGAAGAGAAGCAGAGUCGAGGGAGGUGGGUAGGACAAGGCCGAGUCUUGUGCUACACAAUAUGCAUGCCUAAGCCAACAGUAGCAAUGGUUGAAUACUAUAGGAAAUAGGAAUAGUUACUCACAUUAGUAAUAUAUAAAAUAUGAAGGGUUACACCCCUUCAAAUAUAUUUAAAUUAUUUAUUUAUUUAUUUAAAUAAGUAAAGAAUUUAGAUUAAUAAGAGGGUAAUUUGGUAAUUCAACUUUUUAGUUAUGA